GUCUGCCUAGUAUAAUGGUCAGUAUAUUUCGUUGUGGCCUUGAAAAUAGCAUUAUGUACUAUCUUGCUACCUCAAAACCAGCUCCGAAAAGAUCCAUGUUCGAUUCAUGGGGCAGACA